UGUGGUUGUAGCUCAGUGGUAGAGUACUUGCCUCGCAUGUGUGAAUCAUUGGGUUCGAAUCUCAGCACCGCAA
rnacentral:tRNA from 1 species